AUACGAAGGGGGCUAGCGUUGCUCGGAAUCACUGGGCGUAAAGGGUGCGUAGGUGGAUCUUUAAGUCAGGGGUGAAAUCCUGGAACUCAACUCCAGAACUGCCUUUGAUACUGAGGAUCUUGAGUUCGGGAGAGGUAAGUGGAACUGCGAGUGCAGAGGUGAAAUUCGUAGAUAUUCGCAAGAACACCAGUGGCGAAGGCGGCUUACUGGCCCGAUACUGACACUGAGGCACGAAAGCGUGGGGAGC
rnacentral:rRNA from 1 species